UACAGAGGGUGCGAGCGUUGUCCGGAAUCACUGGGCGUAAAGGGCGCGUAGGUGGCGCAACAAGUCAGUGGUGAAAGCUCGACGCUCAACGUCGAGUCGGCCACUGAGACUGUUGGGCUUGAGCACUGUAGAGGCUAAUGGAAUUCCGGGUGUAGCGGUGGAAUGCGUAGAGAUCCGGAAGAACACCGGUGGCGAAGGCGGUUAGCUGGGCAGUUGCUGACACUGAGGCGCGAGAGCGUGGGGAGCAAACAGG
rnacentral:rRNA from 1 species